CGGGGAGCACCACAACAGGUGGAGCCUGCGGUUUAAUCGGACUCAACGCCGGGAAACUCACCAGAUAAGACAGCUGAAUGAUAGUCGGGCUGAAGACUCUACUUGACUAGCUGAGAGGAGGUGCAUGGCCGUCGUCAGUUCGUACUGUGAAGCAUCCUGUUAAGUCAGGCAACGAGCGAGACCCACGCCAACAGUUGCCAGCUCGUCCUCCGGGAUGGUGGGGACACUGUUGGGACCGCCUCUGCUAAAGAGGAGGAAGGAAUGGGCAACGGUAGGUCAGCAUGCCCCGAAUUAUCUGGGCUACACGCGGGCUGCAAUGGGUGGGACAAUGGGUAUCGACACCGAAAGGUGAAGGCAAUCUCCUAAACCCAUCCGUAGUUCGGAUUGUGGGCUGCAACCCGCCCACAUGAAGCUGGAAUCUGUAGUAAUCGUGUCUCAAAAUGGCACGGUGAAUAUGUCCCUGCUCCUU
rnacentral:rRNA from 1 species